UUCCUGCAUCCCUCCGUCCAGUGGUCCAGCCCGCACUGGCCCAGUGUCCUGCUUACCCUGCUGUGUGCUCUGGCUGUGCUGGGCUGCCACGCCGCCAGCCACCACCGCAGGAAUAUCCUCGCCAGUAGGGCUCACAGCAGAAGCGGCCAAGUGCCUCCCUUUCAGGAUUAUGCAGGAGCUUUGUGUGGCAGGGUGCCGUCGGACGGCAGCCCGAAUGCACGGCAUUGUCAUUCAAGCGCCAUGUGUCCGUGCGAAGCCCAUCGCCAUGGCGUCCAUUGGAGCCGAGGGGCCACUGUCACUGUCACCUGCUCGCAAUCUCUGUUAUAGGCUUUCCUGGACCCUGUGCUAUAUCCGUGCUCGCUAUUUUGACAGAGACGCGUUCGUACGGAUGUCUAUUGUUUUAGGUGUUCCAAGAACAAAACGUAUCGCUUCCUUCCUGUAAUAACAUUUUAACGGUCAGAGAAAAAUAGUACUUCAGUUUAACCAUUAAAAUGGCACUAAGUCUCUGAUAUAAAUACCAAAAAAUGACAUACUGUACACAGCUGUGGGCAAAGAGGAUUUGUAAGAGACAUGUGGUUUUGUGACGAUUGUAGUCAGUGAUUAUGAGCUGAUGGAAUGAAUCUGAAAUGCUGAAAUGAAAACUGAAAAUCCUGAAACGAAAGCGGGACAAUGGCUCCUCGCUGCCCUGUUCGUCUCAAAAAAAACAAAGAUUCAUGAGCCCAGCCCCCCAUCGAUUCGUUAUGCAGAAAUGUUUGUAUAAAGUAACAGUGUGAUGGUGAACCUACAGUCUAUACAGUUCUAACACUAACCAAUAACCCUAAACCCUAACUCGAGCCUUAAUACUAACCGUAUCCAUAACCUUACCAUAAAUUUACCUUGAACACUGUGCCCCAAAACCAAUCCUAGCACUCACCCCAAUGCUAACGCUAAACAGCUAAAUCUAGAGGAACUGGGGCUGGUCAAAAAGCUCACGCGUCCCGAAGGUCACAUUUAUUUUCUUUAAUUUUGUUAGCAUGUGUUGGCAGAUAAGGUUUAGCCGGUUGCACUGGCUGUGGGAUUCAGGCCUUACACCACCUGCUCUCUGGCCUCAUAUUUUCCCCCAAAUCUCUCCAAACUAUGUGCUCCAGUGACAGGACGGCCCUUGCCGGCGGCUGUGCUCUUCUGCUCCUCCUAGUAGUGGGGGUGGGAGCCACGGCCCAGCUGCAGCGGCUAUGGAGUGAGGAGGUGCCCCGCAGGCUGCAGGCCGUGCUGCAGCGCACGGAGGAGGUGCUGCGGUGUUUGCAGUCGUGCUGCGCCGAGGGCUACGCCGACCUGUUCGCCCAGCCCUCUCCCGCCGUCCCGCUGCAGUGGACCUAUCGCGACGGCCGCCUGGUCAACCUGCCCGUCAGCCUACUGGUGGAGGGCGACAUCAUCGCUCUCAGGCCUGGCGCGGCGGCACCCGCGGAGCUGAGGGGUGUCCAGGAAGAGCAGCAUGUGGUGCUGUCCCCGCUGGACAGUUGCAGGCCCCGCCCACACAAUCUCCUCAGGCCGCAGCUCUUCCGGGUGAUCGGGACGCCGGCCGUGGACAGUACUCAACGCUGCCUAGAGCUGGGGCAGAGGUGGCCAGCCACUGUGUUGGACAACGAGCGCUACGCCUUGCAGAGCCUGCUGGAGAGGGCUGGGGCUCGUGCUGAGCUUGCUGGCAGUGUGGAGCCCUGUCCCCAGGCGGGGGCACAGACACCCACGUUCACCAGGCGGGGGCACACACCUGGCGGCAGCACAGCCGCUCGCUGUGGCCUCUGGGUCUGGCCGCCCAGCUGGCAUCGUGCGACCAGGACACGGCGGCCGCGCUUUGUCACCUGACCGAUCACCUGACCGAUCACCUGACCGAUCACCUGACCCACGUGGCCCUGCUGAAGAGCCGCCCGCGUUGCCAGCCUGUGUGCCCACCGUGGGGGCUGUACCAGUUGGCAAGGAUUCCGGGUAACUGGCGUCUCUGAAGUCAGCUUCCAUUCAGGAUUAGACAGACUACAGCCGCAUGACUCAUGUGUUGAUAGAAUGACUCGCCUUGUCGGUUUCUGCCUUUUUUUUGGAGAUUUUAUUUUACAGACUGAUGACUCAGAAGUUAUACAUGGCUUUGCAUUACUGUGUGUCCGUUAUAGCUUAAUUUCUCAGGUUCUUUAUUUUUGAGCUUAAAUCAGCGUGACGAUCGCAUUAACCCAGGAAACAGGGAGUGCCACUUGCACACAAACAUUUAAUAAAUGCUGAGCUGUUUUACUUUACAGAAUAAAGGAGAGAUCAUAAAGUAAGAUGAUUCUUUUUGUUGGUCCUUAAACCUAGAAAAAGCUCUCAGGCUGGAGAGCUGACAGGCGUAUCCUGGUGAUUAGUUACUUCAUUUCCCCUGAGCUCUACUGAUCAACAAAUUCAGUGAAAAGAGAGAGACCGCAAACAAUGUUUUAUUUGCAAAAGAUGGUUACUGCCUGAUUUGAAGCAAAGUCCCGCCCAAUCCCUUCAGGUGGAAACUAACCACAAGCAAAGAUCACGAAUCCUGUUGACUCAGAAGAGCGAGCAUUAUCAGUGUGAGAGUGGUCAAUUCAACAUGCUGAUCCCCCUAAACCUCCCAGGCUCCAGGGGGCGCCAGACUUUUGCGACAGUCUGAGGCCAAUGCCAUGGACGACUCUCAGUCAGCUUCACUGUGCCUGUGUCUUUCCGGCAGGGUUUCGGCCUUCCGUCAAAGAGUCCUUCCAGCGCCGGAUGAGCGUAGCCGCCUACGCUCUGCCUGCCGCGCCUGUACCCAGAAUCUCGCCCCCUGGCAGCAGAAGCUCGUGUGCAUGAGGAAGCUCCCCUUCUCCCACGUCGUCAGCCUGCUGGUCCAUGACCGCAGCUCAGGUCGGACCUGGACGGACUCCCACUCAGGCUUAUUUUGCCAUUUGGUGUGUGUGAGUCAGAUGUGUGGGAUAAUUUCACUGAAGGCUGUGGAGGUUUCCAGAACUUUACAACUUCACCGGAUUCCCUGAAGCAGAGCCCCGCCAGACACACUUCCCCCUGUCGUUCUUCAACUAUAACGUCUUAGUGUAGCAAAGAGAGUGCUGGGAGAGGUACAGAAAGUGCAGCAUUGCACUGCCAAUUCAAAGGCUGUGGGUUCAACACCCAUACACUACUCAUAAAUUGAAACCCUUCCAUUUACUGUAAGUGUCAGGUAAAUGAGGAAAUGUAAUCCAGAGGUCAACAGUGGGUAUUGUGCACAAGAUCAUUCAGUAAGUGACAGUCCUUUAUAUAUACUAUAUAUACAUAUGUAUACUAUAUGUAGGUCAGCAGCCUGAGGUUUUGUACUAAACACUGCCUGUUGUGGUUUUGGGCUGUGGUGCAUCACUAUUGGUAAAUGGUAUAGGUGUGUUGUCUCACCAGGAAGGCUGCAGUUGUUCUCCUACGGUUCUGCUGAUGUUAUCAUGGAAGCGAGCACUGAAUUCUGGGAUGGGGAGGACCUCCAGCUCCUCACAGAUUCCGACAGGAAGAAGGUGCUGGACUUUUACCGGAGAUCAUGUAUGUCGGGUCAGUGCCUGGCGCUCUCAUUCAAGCCCGUCAUCCAGCCCCACGACCCGGAGACAGAUGGGAAGUGCGUGGAGCUGCCACAUGGACCACGGGCGACUCCAGCAUGAUGGGUAAUGAGGCCGGGUGGAACCUCUCUGAGCCAGCGGGGUCUCUCCGGAUGCGAUGGGGAUGCUCGCACUGCUAAGUGGGGCAACAACUGUACAGUAGGUGCUGGGGCAAAAGUGGUCCAUGUCAUCCCCUUCCAAAUUUGCACCUAUACCCUGCCUAUACCAGCUGCAGCAGUUACAGAUGAUGAAAGUUAAGUAGCCUCCAAAUAUCAUACCCAUCAUGCAUUGCAGCAGUUAGCAAAUACCACAAGCAUGCUCUUUUCGUCAAAUACACGCCUCAUUACAAACUAUUACAUUUAACAUUGUUUUAAGUACUGCACAAAAUAAUUAUUGUGGUAUGACUCCUACCAUAAUGAGAUACAUAAAAAUGAGAGAUAUAAAAGCAGCAUGUCACAACCUUGUGUUGUAGGUCAGUGCCUUAAUCCUCACAAAGGUUUUGUAUACAUCAGAGGGUGACCCCUUGCUCCGCCCACCAGUUUGCCCCUGGCUCUGAUCUCAUUGGCUGAUUCCCACCAUGAAUAUGCACACUUGUCACACUUCAGGGGACGAGGCUGAGGAACAGCCAUCAGGUCCAGGAAACCCCCUCCUUCCCUUGAAGGAGCAUAUCUUCCUGGGCCUGGUGUCCUCGCAGUACCAAACCCGGCCAGACAUGGUGUGACUCAUCGCCAGCUGCAAGAGCGCCUGCAUCCGCUUUGUCUACUUCUCCAAAGAGGAGGAAGUGAGGAGUAAGCAAUCUACACAUUGCUGAAUUUGCUCCAUCAAACCUGAGAGAGUCUGUGUAGAGUGACCAUCUGUACAUGCACCAGCCUGCCAGCAGCUGCAGCAGCUUCCUGUUGACCUGGUGUAGGGCGCGGCGUGUGGGCCCAGCUCUCAGGCCUCCCCCGCGGCUCGCUGCAGGUGUUUGCCGAGAAGAUGGGCCCGGAGACGGGCUGGAAGUGCCGCAUAUCGCUGCAAUCAGACUGCCUCCCGCUGGACACCGAAAGCCUGGAGCACCCCGGCAGGGGGGCGUGCGGGGAGCAGGAAUGCGACGGAUCCAUCAUGAAGGUUCUCACUGGAAAGAAUGCUCGCUUUUUGCCUAAAAAGGUAGUGCGACCUAAGAGGGGACCUGCACCCCCGAAAGAGGCCUCUAGGCCCCCAGAAGGGGUGCACUGGUGUGAGCUGACAUUGCCUUUCUGUCCCCCAGACCUAGAGAUUGUUCAUGCUGUACUUCCUGGUGAAGUUUGGCCCCACCGCGUGCAUCUGCCUGACCUGUUUCUGCCUCAUGCUGCAUGGAUUCUGCCUCCGCAUAAACGUCUCCGACCCCCCUGGCUGCCAUCUGGCCGCAGUGCUAAUGUAAGCUUACUUCCAUCCUGAAAAGUAACGCGUGUCCAAUCGGCACCGAUGCUUGUUGCCUGGAAACCGGAGUCCUUUCGCCCUUGGUACAGGAACUCCACGGACUCGUCCCCUGACUGGUUUGGGGAGCACUCUGACGGCCUUGCUCUGGCACAGAAGAUAAGCGCUUUCUUCGUGCUGCUUUACGCCAGUGAGUGCAGGGACUCACUACGGCUCCUGUCAUGGGUGUAGAAUUAGAAUCUGCCUCGGGCUUCCGUCAGGGGAUGAUGUUUAGGUGUGGAAAAUGCACGUAGCCCACGGGGGCACAUAGCCCACAGGUGGGGGGCGCUGUGUGGCUCAAUGGGUUAGGAUGCCAUACCAGGGAUUUGAAAGCCACUGGUUCAAAUCCAACCAUUGCUCAAGUAAUUUCACUGUUGUGCCUUUGUGCAAAACUAUUACCUAUUGGCAGUGUGAACUUCCAAUUGCUCCAGGGAUGGACUGACCCUGCUUUCUCAGUUGUGCAUUGCUUUGGAAAGAAGUAUCUGUUACAUAAGUGUAAUGUGUUCCAUUUCUGGAUGGUCUGUGUUCCAGUGUCUACAUCUGUGAGUCAUGUCCACCACUCUGCCUCCAUAUGGAGGCAAAGAGUCCCUUCAACAACAGCUACUGGUGUGCAGCUCUCACUACUGUGUCUGUGAUACAUGUGAGUGCAGCUGUAGGCUUCCACAUCCUCGGGCAGGAUCUGACCGCUCGUAACACUUUCUUCAUGAGCGACAUCUCGAAGGCCUCAUGGCUUCUGGGUCUGCUCUGGCCACUCCCUCUGAUCUGCAUCAGUGAGGGAGCCAAGCUUCGCGAGAUCAGAAUGAAGGUGAGGUAUCAGAAACGACAGAAGCUGCAGUUUGACACCAAGCUUGGAAUGAAUUCUCCCUUCUAGAAAAAUACACGAAAUGGGUAGCACAUUCCUGAACGACUGACUGCCACCCACUUUGUGUUUUGUGAAGAUUGAUAAAGACCAGUUCCUCUUACAUGUUCAGGCUGGAUGGUACCUACAGAAAUGUUCUUCCAUCCUCUGUCUACCAGCUUUGGUUUAGUAAUACAUACUAUAAGAAUGUACAGCGAUAUACAAUAUACACAGAUAUACAAAGCAUGGUACUGAUUCCAAAUGUGAAACUGAGCUGGUAUGUAUAAUAAAAAUGCUCAUUGUUUUAA